ACGAGAUUGUUUCAGUUUUGCACGAGACCUCGACUAGCGCAUGGCUGUCACUCGCUGAAACUUCGCAGCGCGCCCAGAAGUUUCCGCAUCCAAUUCUGGCUUCGCCCCAUAUUUUUCAUCCUCCUCCAGUGUGGCGCAGGGAAUAUUAAAGCGUGCAAGGAAGUGUCCCAAUAAGGCCGUUGCACACGCACGCACAGAUUUGGCUCCGUUACGUUCGUCAUGUUGGCACUCAACUCCAGUCCAAGAUGGCGUGUUGUUAAUGGCCGGUUAUAAAGUUUCGUGUGUAAAAAGUAUAUUUUCUUGUGUUCUCGUGGAUUUAUCAGCGCAGGCAGAGUAGAAUGUGUGAUAAGUGAAUUGCAACCGAUAAUCCAGUUGAAGAAUUUGUUGAAGCAGAUGUCCACCGCAGUGUGUCCGCGUGCCGAGAGUGGAUGGUAAUCGCCUCCCUGUGAUUGAUUCCGUUAGUUGGAGGAACUUGAAGCGUCCCCACCAGAGGUCAGCACCAACAGCAGGUAGCCACAAGAAGAAACAUGGCGGCCUUUGUGGCGAAGCAGAUGGUGGGCAACAAGCUGAAUGCUGUGAAAGGUAGAUGU